CGCGGACACCGAGAAACUCUGCCGGUUCCCAGGAGUAGGGUAAGGAAUGAGGUGGUGGGGAGGGAGCUGGCACAGAUGAACCCUUUCCUGCCGGUGAUAUCAUCAUAGGCUGUCCGCGGACCUGGGAUUCCCUAGGGGGCUGCCUGUUCAGAGACGUCUCCAUCAAGCAAAUACCCUCUUCUCCGCUUGUCUACUAGGUUCACACUAACUUAUUCUGAAUACUGAAAUCAGGUUAUACAAGUUUAACAUCUACUGCUACAAUCCUAACUUGAAGGCCAUCUCCAUGACGGCAGAAGUACACCAAGACCAUUUAUAUGAAGAUCCUCAUUUCACAAAAUCUCAUGAGGUUACAUUCUCUAUAAAUGAUCCUUUGUAGAUGUGAGUUUUCUAGAGAAAGGCUAUGUACAGAGUGGCUACCACUUACAGUUUUGGGCCUGGAGCACAUGUGUUUCCAUUCAUUCUCGACGAUGCCAGCCACCACAAGUUCCUGGAGGAAGGCAAAGAUCAGCAUCA